ACUCUGGGAUAAGCCUGGGAAACUGGGUCUAAUACCGGAUAUGACCUUCCAUCGCAUGGUGGUUGGUGGAAAGCUUUUGUGGUUUUGGAUGGACUCGCGGCCUAUCAGCUUGUUGGUGAGGUAAUGGCUUACCAAGGCGACGACGGGUAGCCGGCCUGAGAGGGUGACCGGCCACACUGGGACUGAGACACGGCCCAGACUCCUACGGGAGGCAGCAGUGGGGAAUAUUGCACAAUGGGCGCAAGCCUGAUGCAGCGACGCCGCGUGAGGGAUGACGGCCUUCGGGUUGUAAACCUCUUUCAGUAGGGAAGAAGCGAAAGUGACGGUACCUGCAGAAGAAGCGCCGGCUAACUACGUGCCAGCAGCCGCGGUAAUACGUAGGGCGCAAGCGUUAUCCGGAAUUAUUGGGCGUAAAGAGCUCGUAGGCGGUUUGUCGCGUCUGCCGUGAAAGUCCGGGGCUCAACUCCGGAUCUGCGGUGGGUACGGGCAGACUAGAGUGAUGUAGGGGAGACUGGAAUUCCUGGUGUAGCGGUGAAAUGCGCAGAUAUCAGGAGGAACACCGAUGGCGAAGGCAGGUCUCUGGGCAUUAACUGACGCUGAGGAGCGAAAGCAUGGGGAGCGAACAGGAUUAGAUACCCUGGUAGUCCAUG
rnacentral:rRNA from 1 species